UCGUACGCUUCUUUUUCCCCGGAGCUUGCUCCACCGGAAAAAGAAGAGUGGCGAACGGGUGAGUAACACGUGGGUAACCUGCCCAUCAGAAGGGGAUAACACUUGGAAACAGGUGCUAAUACCGUAUAACAAUCGAAACCGCAUGGUUUUGAUUUGAAAGGCGCUUUCGGGUGUCGCUGAUGGAUGGACCCGCGGUGCAUUAGCUAGUUGGUGAGGUAACGGCUCACCAAGGCCACGAUGCAUAGCCGACCUGAGAGGGUGAUCGGCCACAUUGGGACUGAGACACGGCCCAAACUCCUACGGGAGGCAGCAGUAGGGAAUCUUCGGCAAUGGACGAAAGUCUGACCGAGCAACGCCGCGUGAGUGAAGAAGGUUUUCGGAUCGUAAAACUCUGUUGUUAGAGAAGAACAAGGAUGAGAGUAACUGUUCAUCCCUUGACGGUAUCUAACCAGAAAGCCACGGCUAACUACGUGCCAGCAGCCGCGGUAAUACGUAGGUGGCAAGCGUUGUCCGGAUUUAUUGGGCGUAAAGCGAGCGCAGGCGGUUUCUUAAGUCUGAUGUGAAAGCCCCCGGCUCAACCGGGGAGGGUCAUUGGAAACUGGGAGACUUGAGUGCAGAAGAGGAGAGUGGAAUUCCAUGUGUAGCGGUGAAAUGCGUAGAUAUAUGGAGGAACACCAGUGGCGAAGGCGGCUCUCUGGUCUGUAACUGACGCUGAGGCUCGAAAGCGUGGGGAGCAAACAGGAUUAGAUACCCUGGUAGUCCACGCCGUAAACGAUGAGUGCUAAGUGUUGGAGGGUUUCCGCCCUUCAGUGCUGCAGCUAACGCAUUAAGCACUCCGCCUGGGGAGUACGACCGCAAGGUUGAAACUCAAAGGAAUUGACGGGGGCCCGCACAAGCGGUGGAGCAUGUGGUUUAAUUCGAAGCAACGCGAAGAACCUUACCAGGUCUUGACAUCCUUUGACCACUCUAGAGAUAGAGCUUCCCCUUCGGGGGCAAAGUGACAGGUGGUGCAUGGUUGUCGUCAGCUCGUGUCGUGAGAUGUUGGGUUAAGUCCCGCAACGAGCGCAACCCUUAUUGUUAGUUGCCAUCAUUUAGUUGGGCACUCUAGCAAGACUGCCGGUGACAAACCGGAGGAAGGUGGGGAUGACGUCAAAUCAUCAUGCCCCUUAUGACCUGGGCUACACACGUGCUACAAUGGGAAGUACAACGAGUCGCGAAGUCGCGAGGCUAAGCUAAUCUCUUAAAGCUUCUCUCAGUUCGGAUUGUAGGCUGCAACUCGCCUACAUGAAGCCGGAAUCGCUAGUAAUCGCGGAUCAGCACGCCGCGGUGAAUACGUUCCCGGGCCUUGUACACACCGCCCGUCACACCACGAGAGUUUGUAACACCCGAAGUCGGUGAGGUAACCUUUGAGCC
rnacentral:rRNA from 1 species